UGCUGCUGGAUCAUUACAUACCGUGAU
rnacentral:rRNA from 1 species